GUGCUUGCUUCAGCAGCACACAUACUAAAAUUGGGACAAUACAGAAAAGAUUAGCAUGGCUCCUGCAUAAGGAUGACAUGCAAAUCAGUGAAGCAUUCCUUAUUUUU